rnacentral:rRNA from 1 species
CAUGCAGUCGAACGGUAACAGGCCUUCGGGUGCUGACGAGUGGCGAACGGGUGAGUAAAGCAUCGGAACGUACCCAGAGGUGGGGGAUAACGCAGCGAAAGCUGUGCUAAUACCGCAUGUGAUCUGAGGAUGAAAGCGGGGGACCUUCGGGCCUCGCGCCUUUGGAGCGGCCGAUGUCGGAUUAGCUAGUUGGUGGGGUAAAGGCCUACCAAGGCGACGAUCCGUAGCUGGUCUGAGAGGACGACCAGCCACACUGGGACUGAGACACGGCCCAGACUCCUACGGGAGGCAGCAGUGGGGAAUUUUGGACAAUGGGCGCAAGCCUGAUCCAGCAAUGCCGCGUGCGGGAAGAAGGCCUUCGGGUUGUAAACCGCUUUUGGCAGGAACGAAAAAGCUCUGGGCGAAUACCCCUGGGGUGAUGACGGUACCUGCAGAAAUAAGCACCGGCUAACUACGUGCCAGCAG